UACGGAGGGGGCUAGCGUUGUUCGGAUUUAUUGGGCGUAAAGGGUGCGUAGGCGGCAGGGUAAGUUAGAUGUGAAAUACCGGUGCUUAACAUCGGAAUUGCAUUUAAGACUGCCUUGCUUGAGCAUUAGAGAGGAGACUGGAAUUUACGGUGUAGCAGUGAAAUGCGUAGAUAUCGUAAGGAAGACCAGUGGCGAAAGCGAGUCUCUGGCUAAAUGCUGACGCUGAGGCACGAAAGCUGGGGGAGCAAACGGG
rnacentral:rRNA from 1 species